GACAGUCGCUGAAGAUGUAUGCCCGGGGGCGGCACAUCUUGCAGAUGGCCAGGCCUGUGAGGCUGGCACCACUGCCAAGCUCUAAGACAGUCCUGGCGGGAGGAAAGGGGACCGUGUCUGUGACUGCACCAAGGUAAGCCUGCCCUGCACCCCGAGGCCACCUGUGAGUGAAGGCUGCUGGGUUCUCGGCCCAUUCUGCAAGGUAGAGGGCAGUGUCCCAUGUGACCAGGCCUGUGGUGCCGUGGGAGAUGAUGGCCGUACUCUCGGAGAGUGUGACGGAGCCUCCCGAGGGCUGCACCAAGAGAGGGCGGGAGAGUCAGUCCAGCAAUCAGAAGACAAGUGGCAUAGAAGAUAAGUAGCCAUCCACCACAUGGCUGAAUAAACCAUGACAGGACCAAUCGCCACUCAGCAAUCAGAAGCAGCUAACUGUUCACAUCCCAACAGCUUGCAUGGGCCUCCGGUGUCACGUGGCAUGAAAGACACUCAUCUCAGGCCACACAGGAGUCCACUCAUCCAACAUUCCUGAGACGACAGAAUUCUGGUGAUGGAGCACAGGUCUGCUACUGCCUACUAAGGAAUGGCCUCUCGACAUCCUCACGUCAAACCCUGCAUGUUCGGGCCCAUCUUUAAAAUCCAUCCUAGGCCAGGUGCGGUGGCUCAUGCCUGUAAUCCCAGCACUUUGGGA
rnacentral:lncRNA from 10 species